rnacentral:rRNA from 1 species
UGGGGAAUAUUGCACAAUGGGCGCAAGCCUGAUGCAGCCAUGCCGCGUGUAUGAAGAAGGCCUUCGGGUUGUAAAGUACUUUCAGCGGGGAGGAAGGCGAUAAGGUUAAUAACCUUGUCGAUUGACGUUACCCGCAGAAGAAGCACCGGCUAACUCCGUGCCAGCAGCCGCGGGAAUACGGAGGGUGCAAGCGUUAAUCGGAAUUCCUGGGCGUAAAGCGCACGCAGGCGGUCUGUCAAGUCGGAUGUGAAAUCCCCGGGCUCAACCUGGGAACUGCAUUCGAAACUGGCAGGCUAGAGUCUUGUAGAGGGGGGUAGAAUUCCAGGUGUAGCGGUGAAAUGCGUAGAGAUCUGGAGGAAUACCGGUGGCGAAGGCGGCCCCCUGGACAAAGACUGACGCUCAGGUGCGAAAGCGUGGGGAGCAAACA